rnacentral:rRNA from 1 species
AUAACAUCCGGAAACGGGUGCUAAUACCGCAUAGUUUUCUUGAUCGCAUGAUCGGGAAAGGAAAGACGGCCUUUGUGCUGUCGCUUAUGGAUGGACCCGCGGCGUAUUAGUUAGUUGGUGAGGUAACGGCUCACCAAGACGAUGAUACGUAGCCGACCUGAGAGGGUGAUCGGCCACAUUGGGACUGAGACACGGCCCAAACUCCUACGGGAGGCAGCAGUAGGGAAUCUUCCGCAAUGGACGAAAGUCUGACGGAGCAACGCCGCGUGAGUGAAGAAGGUUUUCGGGAAUCGUAAAACUCUGUUGUCAGAGAAGAACAAGUUGGAGAGUAACUGCUCCAGCCUUGACGGUAUCUGACCAGAAAGCCACGGCUAACUACGUGCCAGCAGCAGC